rnacentral:rRNA from 1 species
GGGAAGCUUGCUUCCCGCUGACGAGCGGCGGACGGGUGAGUAAUGCUUAGGAAUCUGCCCAGUAGUGGGGGAUAGCCCGGGGAAACCCGGAUUAAUACCGCAUACGUCCUACGGGAGAAAGCAGGGGAUCUUCGGACCUUGCGCUAUUGGAUGAGCCUAAGUCGGAUUAGCUAGUUGGUGGGGUAAAGGCCUACCAAGGCGACGAUCCGUAGCUGGUCUGAGAGGAUGAUCAGCCACAUCGGGACUGAGACACGGCCCGAACUCCUACGGGAGGCAGCAGUGGGGAAUAUUGGACAAUGGGGGCAACCCUGAUCCAGCCAUGCCGCGUGUGUGAAGAAGGCUUUCGGGUUGUAAAGCACUUUCAGUAGGGAGGAAAACCUUAUGGUUAAUACCCAUGAGGCUUGACGUUACCUACAGAA